rnacentral:rRNA from 1 species
UACGGGGGGGAGCAAGCGUUGUUCGGAUUUACUGGGCGUAAAGGGCGCGUAGGCGGCGCAACAAGUCACUUGUGAAAUCUCCGGGCUUAACCCGGAGCGGCCAAGUGAUACUGUCGUGCUAGAGUGCGGAAGGGGCUACUGGAAUUCUCGGUGUAGCGGUGAAAUGCGUAGAUAUCGGGAAGAACACCCGUGGCGAAGGCGGCUCUCUGGGACGGUACUGACGCUGAGACGCGAAAGCGUGGGGAGCGAACAGG